rnacentral:rRNA from 1 species
CCUACGGGAGGCAGCAGUGAGGAAUAUUGGACAAUGGAGGCAACUCUGAUCCAGCCAUGCCGCGUGCAGGAAGACUGCCCUAUGGGUUGUAAACUGCUUUUAUACAGGAAGAAACACCUCUACGUGUAGAGGCUUGACGGUACUGUAAGAAUAAGGAUCGGCUAACUCCGUGCCAGCAGCCGCGGUAAUACGGAGGAUCCAAGCGUUAUCCGGAAUCAUUGGGUUUAAAGGGUCCGUAGGUGGAUAAUUAAGUCAGAGGUGAAAUCCUGCAGCUUAACUGUAGAAUUGCCUUUGAUACUGGUUGUCUUGAGUUAUUAUGAAGUAGUUAGAAUAUGUAGUGUAGCGGUGAAAUGCAUAGAUAUUACAUAGAAUACCAAUUGCGAAGGCAGAUUACUAAUAAUAUACUGACACUGAUGGACGAAAGCGUGGGGAGCGAACAGGAUUAGAUACCCUGGUAG